CCUACGGGAGGCAGCAGUGGGGAAUAUUGCACAAUGGGGGAAACCCUGAUGCAGCGACGCCGCGUGAGUGAAGAAGUAUCUCGGUACGUAAAGCUCUAUCAGCAGGGAAGUAAAUGACGGUACCUGACUAAGAAGCCCCGGCUAACUACGUGCCAGCAGCCGCGGUAAUACGGAGGGGGCAAGCGUUAUCCGGAUUUACUGGGUGUAAAGGGAGCGUAGACGGCAGCACAAGUCUGGAGUGAAAUCCCGGGGCUUAACCACGGAACUGCUUUGGAAACUGUGCGGCUGGAGUGCAGGAGGGGUAAGCGGAAUGCGUGGUGUAGCGGUGAAAUGCGUAGAUAUUAGGAGGAACACCGGUGGCGAAGGCAGCUUACUGGACUGUAACUGACGUUGAGGCUCGAAAGCGUGGGGAGCAAACAGGAUUAGAUACCCUGGUAGUC
rnacentral:rRNA from 1 species